rnacentral:rRNA from 1 species
ACGGUUGUCCCGGUUUAAGCAUGUAGGCGGAGGUUCCAGGUAAAUCCGGUACCUUUUUAACGCUGAGGUGUGAUGACGAGGCACUACGGUGCUGAAGUAACAAAUGCCCUGCUUCCAGGAAAAGCCUCUAAGCAUCAGGUAACACGAAAUCGUACCCAAAACCGACACAGGUGGUCAGGUAGAGAAUACCAAGGCGCUUGAGAGAACUCGGGUGAAGGAACUAGGCAAAAUGGUGCCGUAACUUCGGGAGAAGGCACGCUGAUAUGUAGGUGAAGUGAUUUACUCAUGGAGCUGAAAUCAGUCGAAGAUACCAGCUGGCUGCAACUGUUUAUUAAAAACACAGCACUGUGCAAACACGAAAGUGGACGUAUACGGUGUGACGCCUGCCCGGUGCCGGAAGGUUAAUUGAUGGGGUUAUCCGUAAGGAGAAGCUCUUGAUCGAAGCCCCGGUAAACGGCGGCCGUAACUAUAACGGUCCUAAGGUAGCGAAAUUCCUUGUCGGGUAAGUUCCGACCUGCACGAAUGGCGUAAUGAUGGCCAGGCUGUCUCCACCCGAGACUCAGUGAAAUUGAACUCGCUGUGAAGAUGCAGUGUACCCGCGGCAAGACGGAAAGACCCCGUGAACCUUUACUAUAGCUUGACACUGAACACUGGUCCUUGAUGUGUAGGAUAGGUGGGAGGCUUUGAAGUGUGGACGCCAGUCUGCAUGGAGCCAUCCUUGAAAUACCACCCUUUAAUGGCUGGUGUUCUAACGUGGACCCGUAAUCCGGGUUGCGGACAGUGUCUGGUGGGUAGUUUGACUGGGGCGGUCUCCUCCUAAAGAGUAACGGAGGAGCACGAAGGUUAGCUAAUCCUGGUCGGACAUCAGGAGGUUAGUGCAAAGGCAUAAGCUAGCUUGACUGCGAGAGUGACGGCUCGAGCAGGUGCGAAAGCAGGUCUUAGUGAUCCGGUGGUUCUGAAUGGAAGGGCCAUCGCUCAACGGAUAAAAGGUACUCCGGGGAUAACAGGCUGAUACCGCCCAAGAGUUCAUAUCGACGGCGGUGUUUGGCACCUCGAUGUCGGCUCAUCACAUCCUGGGGCUGAAGUAGGUCCCAAGGGUAUGGCUGUUCGCCAUUUAAAGUGGUACGCGAGCUGGGUUUAGAACGUCGUGAGACAGUUCGGUCCCUAUCUGCCGUGGGCGCUGGAGAAUUGAGGGGGGCUGCUCCUAGUACGAGAGGACCGGAGUGGACGCAUCACUGGUGUUCGGGUUGUCAUGCCAAUGGCAUUGCCCGGUAGCUAAAUGCGGAAGAGAUAAGUGCUGAAAGCAUCUAAGCACGAAACUUGCCCCG